rnacentral:rRNA from 1 species
GAUGAACGCUAGCUACAGGCUUAACACAUGCAAGUCGCAGGGUAACAUGAGGAAAGCUUGCUUUCCUUGAUGACGACUGGCGCACGGGUGAGUAACGCGUAUCCAACCUUCCCAUAACUACAGGAUAACCCGUUGAAAGACGGCCUAAUACCGUAUGACAUCGUUUGCUGACAUCAAAUAACGAUUAAAGGUUUAGCGGUUAUGGAUGGGGAUGCGUCUGAUUAGCUUGUUGGCGGGGUAACGGCCCACCAAGGCGACGAUCAGUAGGGGUUCUGAGAGGAAGGUCCCCCACAUUGGAACUGAGACACGGUCCAAACUCCUACGGGAGGCAGCAGUGAGGAAUAUUGGUCAAUGGGCGAGAGCCUGAACCAGCCAAGUAGCGUGCAGGAUGACGGCCCUAUGGGUUGUAAACUGCUUUUAUGUGGGGAUAAAGUGCGUGACGUGUCAUGCAUUGCAGGUACCACAUGAAUAAGGACCGGCUAAUUCCGU